rnacentral:lncRNA from 1 species
AGUGCCUAUUGGAGGAAGACAAAGUCAAAAACCCUAUCAUGAACAAUCCUAAGGAGAGACCAACAUGGCAAAGAAGAAAAGCCUCCUGCCAACAAUCGUACGAGUGAACUUGGAAGUUGAUUAUGCCACCACAGUUGAACAUUGAGAUGAGUGCAGCCUCAGGCAAUGGACGUGACUGCAACCUUGGGACAGACCUUGAACCAAACCACCCAGAUACUAUGUUUAUUCGGAAUUGGUGGUUUCUGACAACCCUACAUGAGGAAUUCUGUUGACACCAUGUUUCCAACAGGAUGUGAUCACUUUGUAUCUUUGUCACAUUUUGAGACAGUGUUUUGUCAUAUUUUCCAGACUGGUCUUGGACCCCUGAGCUCAAGCCAUCUGCCCACCUUGGCUCCCCAAAAUACUGGUAUUCCAGGUGUGAGCCACUGGCCCAGCCCAGGUGAUACUUAAAGGUAAAAUUAUGAUGAGUCAAGCUGUGCUGAAG